CCUACGGGGGGCUGCAGUGGGGAAUAUUGGACAAUGGGGGCAACCCUGAUCCAGCCAUGCCGCGUGUGUGAAGAAGGGCCUCGGGUUGUAAAGCACUUUCAGUGAGGAAGAACGCCUGGUGGUUAAUACCCAUCAGGAAAGACAUCACUCACAGAAGAAGCACCGGCUAACUCCGUGCCAGCAGCCGCGGUAAUACGGAGGGUGCGAGCGUUAAUCGGAAUUACUGGGCGUAAAGCGCGCGUAGGUGGCUUGAUAAGCCGGUUGUGAAAGCCCCGGGCUCAACCUGGGAACGGCAUCCGGAACUGGCAAGCUAGAGUGCAGGAGAGGAAGGUAGAAUUCCCGGUGUAGCGGUGAAAUGCGUAGAGAUCGGGAGGAAUACCAGUGGCGAAGGCGGCCUUCUGGACUGACACUGACACUGAGGUGCGAAAGCGUGGGUAGCAAACAGGAUUAGAUACCCGGGUAGUC
rnacentral:rRNA from 1 species